AGCGAACGCUGGCGGCAGGCUUAACACAUGCAAGUCGAGCGGGCACUUUCGGGUGUCCGCGGCGGACGGGUGAGUAACGCGUGGGAACGUGCCCUCUGGUUCGGAAUAACUCAGGGAAACUUGAGCUAAUACCGGAUACGCCCUUUUGGGGAAAGGCUUUAUGCCGGAGGAUCGGCCCGCGUCUGAUGAGCUUGUUGGUACGGUAACGGCUCACCAAGGCGACGAUCAGUAGAUGGUCUGUGAGGAUGAGCAGACACACUGGGACUGAGACACGGCCCAGACUCCUACGGGAGGCAGCAGUGGGGAAUAUUGGACCAUGGGCGCAAGCCUGAUCCAGCCAUGCCGCGUGAGUGAUGAAGGCCUUAGGGUUGUAAAGCUCUUUUAUCCGGGACGAUAAUGACGGUACCGGAGGAAUAAGCCCCGGCUAACUUCGUG
rnacentral:rRNA from 1 species